CCAGACAGCCAGGAUGUUGGCUUAGAAGCAGCCAUCAUUUAAAGAAAGCGUAAUAGCUCACUGGUCGAGUCGGCCUGCGCGGAAGAUGUAACGGGGCUAAACCAUGCACCGAAGCUGCGGCAGCGACACUAUGUGUUGUUGGGUAGGGGAGCGUUCUGUAAGCCUGUGAAGGUGUGCUGUGAGGCAUGCUGGAGGUAUCAGAAGUGCGAAUGCUGACAUAAGUAACGAUAAAGCGGGUGAAAAGCCCGCUCGCCGGAAGACCAAGGGUUCCUGUCCAACGUUAAUCGGGGCAGGGUGAGUCGACCCCUAAGG
rnacentral:rRNA from 1 species